rnacentral:rRNA from 1 species
UCUAGUUACUAUAGCAAAGAGGAUACACCUGUUCCCAUUCCGAACACAGAAGUUAAGCUCUUUAGCGCCGAUGGUACUUGGUGGGAAGCUGCCUGG